rnacentral:rRNA from 1 species
GUUCGCCGCCCCCGACGUCGCGAGAAGUCCAUUGAACCUUAUCAUUUAGAGGAAGGAGAAGUCGUAACAAGGUUUCCGUAGGUGAACCUGCGGAAGGAUCAUUG